GAUGAACGCUGGCGGCGUGCCUAAUACAUGCAAGUCGAGCGAACAGACGAGGAGCUUGCUCCUCUGACGUUAGCGGCGGACGGGUGAGUAACACGUGGAUAACCUACCUAUAAGACUGGGAUAACUUCGGGAAACCGGAGCUAAUACCGGAUAAUAUAUUGAACCGCAUGGUUCAAUAGUGAAAGACGGUUUUGCUGUCACUUAUAGAUGGAUCCGCGCCUCAUUAGCUAGUUGGUAAGGUAACGGCUUACCAAGGCAACGUUGCUUAGCCGACCUGAGAGGGUGAUCGGCCAAACUGGAACUGGGACACGGUCAAGACUCCUACGGGAGGCAGCAGUAGGGAAUCUUCCGCAAUGGGCGAAAGCCUGACGGAGCAACGCCGCGUGAGUGAUGAAGGUCUUCGGAUCGUAAAACUCUGUUAUUAGGGAAGAACAAAUGUGUAAGUAACUAUGCACGUAUUGACGGUACCUAAUCAGAAAGCCACGGCUAACUACGUG
rnacentral:rRNA from 1 species